rnacentral:rRNA from 1 species
UGAGGAAUAUUGGGCAAUGCCCGCAAGGGUGACCCAGCAACGCCGCGUGGAGGAUGACUGUCGUAAGAUUGUAAACUCCUGUUAGAGGGGAAGAAUAGUACCGGUUGGACCGGUAUAUGACUGUACCCUCAGAGAAAGCCCCGGCUAACUACGUGCCAGCAGCCGCGGUAAUACGUAGGGGGCAAGCGUUGUCCGGAUUUAAUGGGUGUAAAGGGCGCGCAGGCGGGAUAAAAAGUCAGUGGUGAAAUCCUACAGCUUAACUGUAGAACUGCCUUUGAUACUUUUAUUCUUGAGUUCGGGAGAGAGAGACGGAAUUCCAGUUGUAUUGGUGAAAUACGUAGAUAUCUGGAAGAACACCAGUUGCGAAGGCGGUCUCUUGGUCCGACACUGACGCUGAGGCGCGAAAGCGUGG